rnacentral:rRNA from 1 species
GACGAACGCUGGCGGCGUGCCUAAUACAUGCAAGUCGAACGCAGUGGGGACGGGUGAGUAACACCUGGGUAACCUCCCAUCAGAGGGGAUAACACUUGGAAACAGGUGCUAAACCGAUACUGAUGGAUGGACCCGCGGUGCUUUAGCUAGUGGGUGAGGUAACGGCUCACCAAGGCCACGAUGCAUAGCCGACCUGAGAGGGUGAUCAGCCACACUGGGACUGAGACACGGCCCAGACUCCUACGGGAGGCAGCAGUAGGGAAUAUUGCGCAAUGGGCGAAAGUCUGACCCAGCAACGCCGCGUGAGUGAAGAAGGUCUUCGGGUCGUAAAGCUCUUUUGUUAGAGAAGCGGUAUCUAACCAGAAAGCCCCGGCUAACUACGUGCCAGCCGCCGCGGUAAUAC